rnacentral:sRNA from 1 species
CAGCACAGACCCCCCCACCCCCGCCGGCCGCUGUGGCGGUCGCAGUGACACCAGUGCCCCAGUUCCCAAGAGCCUGCACAGAGGCUGAGUUUGCCUGCCACAGCUACAAUGAGUGUGUGGCCCUGGAGUAUCGCUGUGACCGGCGGCCCGACUGCAGGGACAUGUCUGAUGAGCUCAAUUGUGAGGAGCCAGUCCUGGGCAUCAGCCCCACAUUCUCUCUCCUCGUGGAGACGACACCUUUACCGCCCCAGCCAGAGACAACCAUCAUGCGACAGCCACCAGUCACCCACGCUCCUCAGCCCCUGCUUCCCGGUUCCGUCAGGCCCCUGCCCUGUGGGCCCCAGGAGGCCGCAUGCCGCAGUGGGCACUGCAUCCGCAGAGACUACCUCUGCGACGGACAGGAGGACUGCGAGGACGGCAGCGAUGAGCUAGACUGUGGCCCCCCGCCACCCUGUGAGCCCAACGAGUUCCCCUGCGGGAAUGGACAUUGUGCCCUCAAGCUGUGGCGCUGCGAUGGUGACUUUGACUGUGAGGACCG